ACUGGUUCCUUGGAAAACUCACCAUCUGGUUUAAGAACUCCAGGACUUAAGAAAAAUCUCGCCCAACUGCAACCAUGAAAAUCUUUCUCAUCGCCAUCCUUGUUGUUGCUCUGGCCAUUGGUUCAGAAUCAUCUCAGGUCUAUAUAAGCCCUUUUGAGCAGAUCGGCAAUGGCGUCGUGGAUGCGGCGAACACCGUGGGCCAAACUGUGCAAGAGGGAUGGAACUGGUGGGUCAAUUCAGUUGGAGACCUUUUCGGACUUUGAAGACCAAAUCAAACCACUCGUCCGCCUCCAUCCAAGCUCAGGUCGCCCCUCUGAGUGAUAUGGUGCAGAGCAAAUUUGAAGAGAUGAUCAAGUUUGUUGCUGAGAAGACCAAUGUGUGUUUAAAAUAAUAAAAUGGCUUGAAAGUUA